UGGCGAACGGGUGAGUAACACGUGGGCAAUCUGCCCUGCACUUCGGGAUAAGCCUGGGAAACUGGGUCUAAUACCGGAUAGGACCUUUAGACGCAUGUCUUUUGGUGGAAAGCUUUUGCGGUGUGGGAUGGGCCCGCGGCCUAUCAGCUUGUUGGUGGGGUGAUGGCCUACCAAGGCGACGACGGGUAGCCGGCCUGAGAGGGUGUCCGGCCACACUGGGACUGAGAUACGGCCCAGACUCCUACGGGAGGCAGCAGUGGGGAAUAUUGCACAAUGGGCGCAAGCCUGAUGCAGCGACGCCGCGUGGGGGAUGACGGCCUUCGGGUUGUAAACCUCUUUCACCAUCGACGAAGGUCCGGGUUUUCUCGGGCUGACGGUAGGUGGAGAAGAAGCACCGGCCAACUACG
rnacentral:rRNA from 1 species